AUGACUAAGGACAAUUUGUUAAAAAGAGGGAUCACUAAACCGCCCGAAUGCAUGUUUUGUACAGAGGACGAAUCCAUACACCUGUUCUUUGGAUGUGUAGUUGUUAAACAGAUUUGGGCUGAUGUGUCCAAAAUCCUUUCCUAUGAUUUAGGUAAUGACUACAUAUCUAUUGCUAGAUUUUGGCCAGCCCAUAAGAAUAAGAUGGUCUUGAACUCUGUCUGUGCCUGUGUUAUGUGGUGCAUCUGGAAGUUCAGAAAUUCCAUGGUUUUUAAUAGUGUAAUGUGGACCGACCUUAAACAGGUUUGGUGGCAGAUUCACUUGACUCUCAAGAAGUGGAUGAUCUUGUUCAAAGGAACAGGCCUAGAAGAAUUGAAGCUAGUUUCUCAGAAGGUAGCAAUGAUCCUCACCUCUCCCUUCCUGCUGACCAUGGGGUUAUUAAUGGCAAUGAUACUGUGGGUAUCUUAA
rnacentral:rRNA from 1 species